rnacentral:tRNA from 1 species
GUUUUUAUAAUUUAUAUAAAAUAUUGGUUUUGUAAACCAAAAAUAAGUUACACUUUAAAAACA